CCGUGUCGUGAGAUGUUGGGUUAAGUCCCGUAACGAGCGCAACCCUUGUCCUUAGUUACCAGCACGUUAUGGUGGGCACUCUAAGGAGACUGCCGGUGACAAACCGGAGGAAGGUGGGGAUGACGUCAAGUCAUCAUGGCCCUUACGGCCUGGGCUACACACGUGCUACAAUGGUCGGUACAAAGGGUUGCCAAGCCGCGAGGUGGAGCUAAUCCCAUAAAACCGAUCGUAGUCCGGAUCGCAGUCUGCAACUCGACUGCGUGAAGUCGGAAUCGCUAGUAAUCGUGAAUCAGAAUGUCACGGUGAAUACGUUCCCGGGCCUU
rnacentral:rRNA from 1 species